rnacentral:pre_miRNA from 1 species
GAUAUCAACUAAAAAAGUCAUCAACAACAAAGUUGAAUAACUCAUCAAGAUCUAAAACUUUUAUUUUGGUCAUUUCUUCAUACGACAAAGUGAUAGUAACAUUGUUUACAAAAUUGACAUAUCUCUUAUCUGGUUUUAUAAACUAUAACACAUAUAUGUAAAAUUUGUGAAUAAUAUUACUAACAUUUCGUCGGAUGAAGAAAUAACAAAAAUAAAAGUUUUAGAUCUUGAUGAGUUAUUCAACUUUGUUGUUGAUGACUUUUUCAAUUGAAAUC